AACGUUACAGAGCAAAGCUUUAGCCAAGAUGGAUAUUUUGGUGAACAAGACAGAAGAACUGGCAGAGAAUAUACUCAAGUGGCGAGAUCUACAAAAGGAAAUUUCCUUGUACAUCCCCAGAAUGCUGACUGAAGAAAAUCAUCUUCAUGAACUUGACAUAGUGCCUCCUUUACCUUUUCUUUCUAAGGCUCACACUGAGACCUCUGAUACCAAGUGAUGCCAUCUUUACGUUCAGUCAAUUACAUGUAAUCAGAAGUCCCUGUCUAGAUUGUUAUGACAGGCAUAUUGAUAGGCUUUGUUGCUAGCAGCACUGAAGCCUUCUUAGUAUUGGAAUAGCAGAGCCAGAAAGAUAUCUCAGUGGGGAAAAGCUCCUGCUUCAAGCCUCACAGCCUGAUUCAAUCCCUGGGAUCCACAUAUCAGAAGGGGAUCACUGAUUCCCACAGAUUCUCAAGCCUAUGAUGUCUACACAUGUGUCAUCGUAUGUAUGUGCUAUACACACAAAAAUAGACAAAUGAAAGUAAUAGAGAGCGAGUGAGCACAUUGGAGCACCAGAAUUUUAGGUUCAUUAGGAUCAAACUGACCUUUAUCUAUGUUUUCACUCUCUUCAGUGAAGCUUAAAAAUGAUCAACUAUACAUAUGAUUAUAAGUGAAUUGAACAUUCUUCAGGCAGAAGGUUUUGUAUUAUGAUUCUGCAUUGUGUCUUUUAAAAACAUUUCUGGAUUGGAAUAUUCCAGAAUCUGUAACUGAAUAGCUACUCACCAGGCCUGUUCCUCUUUGAAGACUUCAUGAAGUAGUGGUUCCUUGGCUGGCCCACCUAGAACCAUAGGUAAUAGGAGGAGGAGCAGGGCUCAGUGAUCAGGCUGUACAGUGUAGUUUGUGGGGGAUGCUUUCUUUUCUUCUGAGAGUCUAGGAUGUUGGUACACACCGAGUAGAAAGUACCUUUGCUUCUGGUCCCUGGCAGAAUUGCAGAGCACCUCAUCCCUAACCGUUUUGGUGAUAGAGAGCAUUUAAGUGUAGCAGUUGAGUUGUACUAAGUCACAGCUGUGAAUGUGAUGACACUAAGUCUUGUAACUCCUCUAGGCGGUUCACUCACUGAACCUGGUUGUAUUCUUAGGACUGCUUGGAAAUAAACGCUGGUGGAGGAUGUGUGCUGGUGGACUUAGGAUCAACAAAGAAGAAACAGAGUCUUGUAAAAAUUUAGAAUUUUUUGGUGCUAUAUGUAGCCAAGGCAGAACUUGGACUCACUAUGUAGCCCAGGCUGGUCUCAAACACAUGAUUUUCCUUGCCUUAGCCUCCCGAGUGCUGGAAUCACAGACAUGUGGCUAAAGGUUAGAGGUCUGUAAAGGAAAACACUGAUAUUUUACUCACUUAGGAUUUUCUUAAGAUGGAGACUAGUAUAAUAAAUAGAGAUUGUAACAGUUAUCCCAAGAACUUCUCAUUUAUAUCAGUACUGUAAGUACGUCUGCCUUAUGUUUAAACUGGGAUCUGGUUUCCUUUCACGUGUAUAUAUCAGGAUUUCCUUACUGUAGCAUUCUGCACUGUGGGCAUUCAGCAAACCUGCUCAUCAGAUCUUAAUACAAGACUUCACUUGGUGGAUAGUAAAGGAGAUGUUCCUAGGGAAGCAGGAUCUUUACCCCCAAAGGGCCCUGUUAAAACAACAGGUUAUUGUUUUUAAAGUCUACAGCUUUUACGAAUAUGCCAUACACAAGUGGUAUUGAGAUUUUGAACAUCACCUAGACAAGUCAGUAGAAUUAUUAAUUUUCCUUGUAGGAAUUCUUGUGUAUUUAUGUGUAAAUAUACUCAUUACUUUGUCAUUGUCAAUACUCUUUUUUUUUUUUUUUUGGUUCUUUUUUUCGGAGCUGGGGACCGAACCCAGGGCCUUGCGCUUCCUAGGCAAGCGCACUACCACUGAGCUAAAUCCCCAACCCCCAUUGUCAAUACUCUUUGUGGUUUUGUAAUUUUUUAUUUCCAUUAAUGAUUCAAGCUGUAAAAGUAAACUAAUUUUAAUUAAAUGUGGCUCCAAUAUGAAUCCCAAGUAACAGAAAAAAAAAUACUAUUAGCUUAACACAUACAACAUAGAAGCCUUCCAGCUAUCUGACUCAUAAAA
rnacentral:lncRNA from 1 species